rnacentral:rRNA from 1 species
GACAGAGGGUGCAAACGUUGUUCGGAAUUACUGGGCGUAAAGCGAGUGUAGGCGGUCUCAUAAGUCGGAUGUGAAAGCCCUGGGCUCAACCCAGGAAGUGCACUCGAUACUGCGAGGCUAGAGUAUCGGAGAGGUUGGUGGAAUUCUCGGUGUAGAGGUGAAAUUCGUAGAUAUUAGGAAGAACACCAGUGGCGAAGGCGGCUCACUGGUCCGGUACUGACGCUGAGGUGCGAAAGCGUGGGGAGCAAACAGG